GGCAGGGGCACCCCCAACCCCACGAGGCACUGGCUGGAUAGGUGUUGGGUAAAGACCAGGCCCGGCUAUUGCCGGAACCUGAAUGCACGGUCCAUCAAUGGGACUGGGAACGGUGCCCCCUGUUCAAAAAAUUACCCUUAGCGGGUGUAGUGCACUGCCGUUGGGCCAUCGCGACGUUUCGGCUGGGUGCAGCCUUCUUCAGGCUGGCCCAACGUCUUUCUGUUCUCUAUGUUGCCACUCGGGGCCUUUUAUACUGGGCUGUCUCCGCCCCUUUUGUUUCUCUUGAGAUUUCUUUUUCUAAUUUUUUCUGUUUCUCAGCUUUUACGUGAUUCUCCCUUUUUCUAUCUUUCUUUACGUUUUGUCUUUCAACCUCAACCCUUGUUUACUUGUUUUUUUCUAUAUUUUCUUCUUUCUGUUUAUAUGGCACCCCCUGCAUUGUAGACAUCCCGUCCUGUGUUCUUUAUAUUUUCUUUAAUGGCACCCCCUUCCUUUAUAUCCUUUCCAUUUUUUCUGUUUGUGUCACUUAUUCCUUCUUUGUUUAUCUUAUCUUUCUUUGUGUCUUUAACGUGACUUUCUUAUUAUUAUCUUGUGUCUUUUACGUGACUUCCUUAUGCUCUUUCUUGAGUUUUCUUAUCUUUCUUUGUGUCCUUUACGUGACUUUCUUAGUUUCUCUUUUCUUUGUUUGUGUCCCUUUUUCCCUCUUUGUUUUUCUUAUCUUUCUUUGUGUCUUUUACGUGACUUUCUUCUUCCUUUUCUUAGGCUUUAUGUGUCUUUUACGUGACUUUUUCUUAUCUUUCUUUGUGUCCUUUACGUGACUUUCUUAGUUUCUCUUUUCUUUGUUUGUGUCACUUUUUCCCUCUUUGUUUGUCUUAUCUUUCUUUGUGUCUUUUACGUGACCUUCUUCUUCCUUUUCUUAGGUUUGAUAUUGUUCCCUUAGGUGAGGGAUAAGAGGGGGGAGGGGGGGAGGGGGGUCAAAGGGGUUAGGGUUAGGGAAAGUUAGUGGGUGGGGGGAUUCCCAUUCUUAGGGAGUUAUUAGGCAGGGGCACCACCAAUCCCAUGAGGCACAGGCUGGUUAGGUGUUGGGUAAAGACCAGGCCCGGCUAUUGCCGGAACCUGAAUGCACGGUCCAUCAAUGGGACUGGGAACGGUGCCCCCUGUUCAAAAAAUUACCCUUAGCGGGUGUAGUGCACUGCCGUUGGGCCAUCGCGACGUUUCGGCUGGGUGCAGCCUUCUUCAGGCUGGCCCAACGUCUUUCUGUUCUCUAUGUUGCCACUCGGGGCCUUUUAUACUGGGCUGUCUCCGCCCCUUUUGUUUCUCUUGAGAUUUCUUUUUCUAAUUUUUUCUGUUUCUCAGCUUUUACGUGAUUCUCCCUUUUUCUAUCUUUCUUUACGUUUUGUCUUUCAACCUCAACCCUUGUUUACUUGUUUUUUUCUAUAUUUUCUUCUUUCUGUUUAUAUGGCACCCCCUGCAUUGUAGACAUCCCGUCCUGUGUUCUUUAUAUUUUCUUUAAUGGCAAACC
ensembl:lncRNA